CCUGACUUUCCUGCCAUAGUUCUUUCAUUCUCCUGCUAGGGAAGUGGCAGAGGCAGUGGAAGGGAUGUUUGAUAAACAUUGUAAAAUAAAACAGGUGGGAUGUGCUAAGUAAUGAUGAGGAAUGAGGAGCGUGCAAAGUUUCUUUUCACCAGACCACCUCCUCAGGUUUUCUCCCACAUGCUUAGAUUAAAGGUAUGCAUGUUUUUAAAGGUCUCCUAAUGAAUAUGCUUCCUUUAUAGUUUUGUAUGCUAUCUCACAUCCUUAAAACCAGAAUGCUAAUUUUUUUUCUUAUGAACAGAAAGGAAAGAAGGAAGGAAGGAAGAGACAGACAUAGACACACAAAGAGAAGGAAACACACUGGGUCUGGAGCUGUACUCUCCAUGUGAGAACCACUCCUCCUGUCCCCCUGUAGACUCACCUGCAUUCCUGCUCUGACCAGAUAAAUCCAUAGAGUGUUCUGUCAAGCAAAACGGAGUUCAUCAGACUGUCCCCUCACUCUGUUUUCCUUUCCAACCUCUGGCUUCAGAUAGUCUACCACCAAUUUGCACCUUAAUGCUGUACUUAAGGUAUUUACAGAGAACACCACCUAGUUGAAUUUUUAGGUCUAAAAUGAAAAAUCUGUUUCUUGUGAUAGGAGAAUUCAACACUUUUACAUUCACUGGAAUAAUAACUGCAAGGGCUGCUGUCUCCCCAGUCACUGCUGUGCAGGUGUGAACGUGUUACAUCAGUUCAUUUGUAACUGUGCUGCAAGCAAAAAUGGAUGCCCCACUUGUGAUUUGCACAAAAGAAGAGCAAUGCGUAGUGAUUCAUUUUUUUGUGGUCUGAAGGUGUGCGCGUCUGCACACUUCUGCCCACACUGUUGACACUCUGCAAAAACUUCAUUUUGAGGUGUUAAAGCAUCCUCACUAUAGCCCUGAUCUUGCUCCAUCGGCCUUUCACCUGUUUGGUCCCCUGAAAGCAGCCCUACAAGGACAAAGAUUAACUUCUGAUGAAGUGAGGACAGCGGUGCAUUCAUGGCUCACAGCACAGCCUAAAACAUUUUUUCAUGAGGGAAUAUGAAAGCUUGUUGACAGAUGGACAAAGUGUCAACAAGUAAGGAGAUUAUGUCAAAAAAUGAUGUAUUUAUCUUUUCUAAAAGCUAAUUAAAAUAAAUUCUA